UUUUCAGAAUGGCCAAAAAAAAAAAAAAAAGAAGUCUGGAGAGGCAGUUGCGCGGGUCGCGGUGCUGGGCGGUCUGCAGACACUGGCAAAUCGGGCCCAGGAUGUAGAGUUGGCGGUGCCUGACGGCACAUCUGACGCGGAGCUGGGUGGGGUAGAGAGUAGGGGGCGGUAGUCAGGGGUGGUGGGAGAAGGAGGAGGCGGCGGUGGUGAGUGAAUCUUUUAUAAAUGGCACCAAAGCAGGACCCGAAGCCUAAAUUCCAGGAGGGUGAGAGAGUGCUGUGCUUUCAUGGGCCUCUUCUGUAUGAAGCAAAGUGUGUAAAAGUUGUCAUAAAGGAUAAACAGGUCAAAUACUUCAUCCAUUACAGUGGUUGGAAUAAAAACUGGGAUGAAUGGGUUCCAGAAAGCAGAGUACUCAAGUAUGUGGAUACCAAUUUACAAAAACAGAGAGAACUUCAAAAAGCCAAUCAGGAGCAGUAUACAGAGGGGAAGAUGCGAGGGGCUGCCCCUGGAAAGAAGACUGCUGGGCUACAACAAAAAAAAAACUGAAGUGAAAACGAAAAAGAACAAACAAAAGACACCUGGAAAUGGAGAUGGUGGCAGCACUAGUGAAACACCUCAGCCUCCUCGCAAGAAAAGGGCUCGAGUAGAUCCUACUGUUGAAAAUGAGGAAAUAUUUAUGAGCAGAGUUGAAGUUAAAAUCAAGAUUCCUGAAGAACUGAAGCCAUGGCUUGUUGAUGACUGGGACUUAAUUACCCGGAAAAACAGCUCUUCUAUCUUCCCGCCAAGAAGAACGUGGAUUCCACCCUAGAGGAUUAUACAAAUUACAAGAAAUCUCGAGGAGACACAGAUAAUAAGGAGUAUGCAGUCAAUGAGGUUGUGGCCGGGAUAAAGGAAUACUUCAAUGUGAUGUUGGGCACUCAACUGCUCUACAAAUUUGAGAGGCCGCAGUACGCUGAGAUCCUUGCAGACCACCCUGAUGCACCCAUGUCCCAGGUGUACAGGGCGCCACAUCUCCUGAGACUGUUUGUACGAAUUGGAGCAAUGUUGGCCUAUACACCUCUGGAUGAGAAGAGCCUUGCUUUAUUACUGAAUUAUCUUCACAAUUUCCUAAAAUACUUGGCAAAGAACUCUGCAACUUUGUUUAGUGCCAGUGAUUAUGAAGUGGCUCCCCCUGAGUGCCAUCGGAAAGCCGUGUGAGGCGCAUGCACCCACCUAUGUUUGAUCUCUGUAAACCCCUUUUUGUUUCUUAGUCCUUCUCUUGUACAAACAAUGUACUUUGGAAAUGUUCGUGUAUAACAAAAUUGAUGUUUGUUUUCUGUUUGAUUUUAAACAGAGAAAAUAAAAGGAGUUACAGCUCC